rnacentral:rRNA from 1 species
GACGAACGCUGGCGGCGUGCUUAACACAUGCAAGUCGAACGGAAAGGCCCUGCUUUUGUGGGUUGCUCGAGUGGCGAACGGGUGAGUAACACGUGAGUAACCUGCCCUUGACUUUGGGAUAACUUCAGGAAACUGGGGCUAAUACCGGAUAUGAGCUCCUGCUGCAUGUUGGGGGUUGGAAAGUUUCGGCGGUUGGGGAUGGACUCGCGGCUUAUCAGCUUGUUGGUGGGGUAGUGGCUUACCAAGGCUUUGACGGGUAGCCGGCCUGAGAGGGUUACCGGCCACAUUGGGACUGAGAUACGGACCAGAAUGCUACGGGAGGCAGCAGUGGGGAAUAUUGCACAAUGGGCGGAAGCCUGAUGCAGCAACGCCGCGUGCGGGAUGACGGCCUUCGGGUUGUAAACCGCUUUCGCCUGUGACGAAGCGUGAGUGACGGUAAUGGGUAAAGAAGCACCGGCUAACUACGUG